UGAGUAACACGUAUCCAACCUGCCGUCUACUCUUGGACAGCCUUCUGAAAGGAAGAUUAAUACAAGAUGGCAUCAUGAGUCCGCAUGUUCACAUGAUUAAAGGUAUUCCGGUAGACGAUGGGGAUGCGUUCCAUUAGAUAGUAGGCGGGGUAACGGCCCACCUAGUCUUCGAUGGAUUGGGGUUCUGAGAGGAAGGUCCCCCACAUUGGAACUGAGACACGGUCCAA
rnacentral:rRNA from 1 species